rfam:Asian citrus Psyllid, Diaphorina citri - Florida Strain, whole genome shotgun sequence.
GACAGCGGCGGUAGCACGUUGAAUGCACCAGUUUUAGAUUAAUCACUGUAGUUAAACAACGUUGCGCGUGGUUGGUAUCCGGAUGGGUGACCGUCUGGGUAAUGGUAUGCUGCUAGAU